GCAGGGCGCAGCUUACCAUGCAAGUCGAGCGGGGGAGGUAGCUUGCUACUGGACCUAGCGGCGGACGGGUGAGUAAUGCUUAGGAAUCUGCCUAUUAGUGGGGGACAACAUCUCGAAAGGGAUGCUAAUACCGCAUACGUCCUACGGGAGAAAGCAGGGGAUCUUCGGACCUUGCGCUAAUAGAUGAGCCUAAGUCGGAUUAGCUAGUUGGUGGGGUAAAGGCCUACCAAGGCGACGAUCUGUAGCGGGUCUGAGAGGAUGAUCCGCCACACUGGGACUGAGACACGGCCCAGACUCCUACGGGAGGCAGCAGUGGGGAAUAUUGGACAAUGGGGGGAACCCUGAUCCAGCCAUGCCGCGUGUGUGAAGAAGGCCUUAUGGUUGUAAAGCACUUUAAGCGAGGAGGAGGCUACUUUAGUUAAUACCUAGAGAUAGUGGACGUUACUCGCAGAAUAAGCACCGGCUAACUCUGUGCCAGCAGCCGCGGUAAUACAGAGGGUGCGAGCGUUAAUCGGAUUUACUGGGCGUAAAGCGUGCGUAGGCGGCUUAUUAAGUCGGAUGUGAAAUCCCCGAGCUUAACUUGGGGAAUUGCAUUCGAUACUGGUGAGCUAGAGUAUGGGGAGAGGAUGGUAGAAUUUCCAGGUGUAGCGGUGAAAUGCGUAGAAGAUCUGGGAGGAAAUACCCGAUGGCGAAGGCAGCCAUUCUGGGCCCUAAUAC
rnacentral:rRNA from 1 species